rnacentral:rRNA from 1 species
GUGAGGAAUAUUGCGCAAUGGGGGCAACCCUGACGCAGCGACGCCGCGUGGGUGAGGAAGGUCUUCGGAUCGUAAAGCCCUGUCAAGUGGGAAGAAGUGUCUUGCGGAUAAUACCCGUGGGAUUUGACGGUACCACUGAAGGAAGCACCGGCUAACUCCGUGCCAGCAGCCGCGGUAAUACGGAGGGUGCGAGCGUUGUUCGGAAUUACUGGGCGUAAAGGGCGCGCAGGCGGCCUGAUAAGUCAGAUGUGAAAGUCCCCGGCUCAACCGAGGAAGUGCAUCUGAUACUGUCUGGCUUGAGUAUGGGAGAGGAAAGUGGAAUUCCCGGUGUAGAGGUGAAAUUCGUAGAUAUCGGGAGGAACACCGGUGGCGAAAGCGACUUUCUGGACCAAUACUGACGCUGAGGCGCGAAAGCGUGGGGAGCAAACAGGAUUAGAAACCCCGGUAGUCC